AGCUUUAUAUUUUAAAAGGUAGAAGACCUGGAUGCUUCAUACUUUGUAUAUAGAUGCCUCAUGUUACGAACUUUCCGUCAGUCACAUGUCCAAUGUCCUUGACCUCAUUUUCAUGGUUCAGUGACUACUUGAAAAAAAAGUUAUGAUUUUUUGUAAUGUUUAAUUCUCUCUUAUUAUAAGUAAUUGGAUUACUAUAUUUGGUAUGUG
rnacentral:lncRNA from 1 species